rnacentral:tRNA from 1 species
UCCCUGGUAGCUCAGCAGGUAAAGAAUCUGCCUGCAAUGCUGAAGACUCCGGUUUGAUUCCUGGGUCAGGGAG